GACAAUGACAUCCACAACGUGAACGAAUACAUCAAUUAAAAAAUGAGUAAUAAUGGGAAAAUAAACAAUCACAGAUGUGGUAUGUUGC
rnacentral:ribozyme from 1 species